AACACGGCUUAAAAGAGUUAC
rnacentral:piRNA from 1 species